AGUCGAACGGCAGCAAUGGACUGGUCUGUGGCGAGUGGCGAACGGUGAGUAAUGUGAUUGAACGUGCCUAGUAGCGGGGGAUAACCAUGCUGGUGGUGCUGUUAAUACUUACACAUUCUUCGGGGGAAAAAGCAAGACCUUCGGGUUCUGCACUAUUAGAGCGGCCGAUAUCGGAUUAGCUAGUUGGUGGGGUAAAUGGUUCAUGGCGACGUGGAUCCUGUAGCUGGUUUGAGAGGACGACCAGCCACACUGGGACUGGAGACAUUGCCCGACUCCACAAAGUGAGGCAGUGGGAAUUUUGGACAAUGGGGGAAACCCUGAUCCAGCCAUCCCAGUGUGCGAUGAAGGCCUUCUGGGUUGUAAAGCACUUUUGGCAGGAAAGAAACGGCACGGAGGACAAUUUCGUGCAACUGACGGGCAGCACCUGGGCAAUAGUUACCCGCUAACUACGCCAAAGCUGCAAUACGUAGGGUGCAAGCGUUAAUCGGAAUUACUGGGCGUAAAGUGUGCGCAGGCGGUUCGGAAAGAAAGAUGUGAAAUCCCAGAGCUUAACUUUGGAACUGCAUUUUUAACUACCGAGCUAGAGUGGUCAGAGGUGGAAUUCCGCGUGAGCAGUGAAAUGCGUAGAUAUGCGGAGGAACACCGAUGGCGAAGGCAGCCUCCUGGGAUAACACUGAUUUACAAAAAUUAAAGUAGGGAUGCAAACAGGAUUAGAUACCCUGGGUAGUCCACGCCCUAAACGAUGUCAACUAGCUGUUGGGACCUUCGGGCCUGGUAGCGCAGCUAACGUAGUAAUGACCGCCUGGGAGUACGGUCGCAAGAUUAAAACUCAGCGAAUUGAUUUGGACCCGCACAAGCGGUGGAUGAUGUGGAUUAAUUCGAUGCAACGCGAAAAACCUUACCUACCCUUGACAUGUCUGGAAUCCCGAAGAGAUUUUGGAGUGUUCGCAGAACCGGAACACAGGUGCUGCAUGGCUGUCGUCAGCUCGUGUCGAGAUGUUGGGUUAAGUCCCGCAACGAGCGCAACCCUUUAAGUCAUUAGUUAGCAAUGAAGCGGGCACUCUAUCGAGACUGCCGGUGACAAACCGGAGGAAGGUGGGGAUGACGUCAAGUCCUCAUGGCCCUUAAGGGUAGGGCUUCACACGUCAUACAAUGGUCGGGACAGAGGGUCGCCAACCCGCGAGGGGGAGCCAAUCCCCAGAAACCCGAUCAUCCGAUCGCAGUCUGCAACUCGACUGCGUAAGUCGGAAUCAAGAACGGAUCAGCAUGUCGCGGUGAAUACGUUCCCGGGUCCUGUACACACCGCCCGUCACACCAUGGGGAGUGGGUUUUACCAGAAGCGGUUGAGUCAACCGUAAGGAGGCAUUUACCACGGUAGAUUCUAUGACUUAAACAGUCGCCGUAACAAGGCAACCUCCGGUUACUACCCCCGAUGUCCAGACACAAUCAACAGCACCGGUAUG
rnacentral:rRNA from 1 species